rnacentral:rRNA from 1 species
UUCGGGCGCCGGCGAGUGGCGAACGGGUGAGUAACACGUGGAGACCUAUCCUUUGGUGGGGGACAACAGCUGGAAACGGCUGCUAAUACCGCAUACGCCCUACGGGGGAAAGAUUUAUUGCCGAAGGAGGGUUCCGCGUCGGAUUAGCUAGUUGGUGGGGUAACGGCCUACCAAGGCGACGAUCCGUAGCUGGUCUUAGAGGAUGAUCAGCCACACUGGGACUGAGACACGGCCCAGACUCCUACGGGAGGCAGCAGUGGGGAAUAUUGCGCAAUGAGGGAAACCCUGACGCAGCGAUGCCGCGUGGGUGAAGAAGGCCUUAGGGUUGUAAAGCCCUUUCAGUGGGAACGAUAGUGACGGUACCCACAGAAGAAGCCCCGGCUAACUCCGUGCCAGCAGCCGCGGUAAUACGGAGGGGGCGAGCGUUGUUCGGAAUUAUUGGGCGUAAAGCGCGCGUAGGCGGCUUAUCAAG